rnacentral:rRNA from 1 species
UACGUAGGGGGCAAGCGUUGUCCGGAAUCAUUGGGCGUAAAGAGCGCGUAGGCGGCCCUGUAAGUCCGCUGUGAAAGUCAAGGGCUCAACCCUUGGAUGCCGGUGGAUACUGCAGGGCUAGAGUCCGGAAGAGGCGAGUGGAAUUCCUGGUGUAGCGGUGAAAUGCGCAGAUAUCAGGAGGAACACCGGUGGCGAAGGCGGUUCUCUGGGCAUGACCUGACGCUGAGGAGCGAAAGUGUGGGGAGCGAACAGG